UAAGGCUUUAAGUUAAUAUAAACUUACAACCUUCAAAGUUGUUAAUAUUUCUUUGAAGGGUAAGUCUUAG
rnacentral:tRNA from 1 species